GUGUCAGCAGCCGCGGUAAUACAGAGGGGGCGAGCGUUGUUCGGAAUUACUGGGCGUAAAGGGCGCGUAGGCGGCCGACUAAGUCAGACGUGAAAUCCCCAGGCUCAACUUGGGAACUGCGUCUGAUACUGGACGGCUCGAAUCCGGGAGAGGGAUGUGGAAUUCCAGGUGUAGCGGUGAAAUGCGUAGAUAUCUGGAGGAACACCGGUGGCGAAGGCGGCAUCCUGGACCGGUAUUGACGCUGAUGCGCGAAAGCCAGGGGAGCAAACGGGAUUAGAUACCCCGGUAGUCCUGGCCCUAAACGAUGAAUGCUUGGUGUGGCGGGUAUCGAUCCCUGCCGUGCCGAAGCUAACGCAUUAAGCAUUCCGCCUGGGGAGUACGGUCGCAAGGCUGAA
rnacentral:rRNA from 1 species